rnacentral:rRNA from 1 species
AGAUUGAACGCUGGCGGCAGGCCUAACACAUGCAAGUCGAGCGGUAGAGAGGUGCUUGCAUCUCUUGAGAGCGGCGGACGGGUGAGUAAUGCCUAGGAAUCUGCCUAGUGGUGGGGGAUAACGUUCGGAAACGGACGCUAAUACCGCAUACGUCCUACGGGGAGAAAGGCGGGGGUACCUUCGGGCCUCGCGCCAUUAGAUGACGCCGUAGGUCGGAUUAGCUUAGGUUGGUGAGGUAAUGGCUACAACCGAAGGCGACGACUCCGUAACUGGUCUGAGAGGAUGAUCAGUCACACGUAGGAACUGAACGAC